GCCAAAAAUCUAGCCCCCAUCCCCACCAAACAACCCUUCUAAUUAGUUAAACAAAACAAAUCAUUUUCCCAAUUAAGUAUAGGUGAUAAAAAAAUUAACCGGAGCUAUAAUGCCAGUACCGCAAGGGAAAGCUGAAAUAUAAAUGAAAUAAACGCUUAAGCAUAAAAAAGUAGAGACUCCCCCUUGUACCUUUUGCAUCAUGGUUUAACUAGUCCUUAUCAAGCAUAGAGAACUUAAGUUUGACCCCCCGAAACUAAGUGAGCUACUCCAAGGCAGCUUUGUGAGCCAACCCGUCUCUGUUGCAAAAGAGUGGGAAGACCUUCGAGUAGGGGUGAUAGACCAAACGAACUUAGUGAUAGCUGGUUACCCGAUAAAAGAAUUUUAGUUCUACCUAAAGCCCCACAAAGUCCCAUAAACUAAUACCUUUGCUUUAGAGUUAUUCAAAUGAGGUACAGCCUAUUUGAAUAAGGAAACAACCUAAACUAAUGGGUUAAUUUUUAUACAGUGCACUAAGUGGGCCUAAAAGCAGCCACCUUUAACAAUAGCGUCAAAGCUUUCUACACAAGUAUAUUCAAUACCACAACCCAACCCAAACCCUUUAUCCUCAUCGAGUAAUUCCAUAUACCUAUGGAACAUAAAAUGUUAAAACUAGUAACAAGAAGAAACCCUUCUCUUAAAUGUAAGUGUAAGACAGAAAGGAUAAACCGCUGUCAAUUAACGCUAAUGAUUUAUAAUUAGUGACACCACAAGAAAGCCCUAAUAAAGCUAGCGUUAAACUAACACAAGAGCAUUUCAAGAAAGAUUAAAAAAGAAAGAAGGAACUCGGCAAACACCAACCCCGCCUGUUUACCAAAAACAUCGCCUCUUGACACAUAUAAGAGGUCCAGCCUGCCCAGUGACCUAGUUCAACGGCCGCGGUAUCCUA
rnacentral:rRNA from 1 species